GAUGAACGCUGGCGGCGUGCCUAAUACAUGCAAGUCGAGCGAACAGACGAGGAGCUUGCUCCUCUGACGUUAGCGGCGGACGGGUGAGUAACACGUGGAUAACCUACCUAUAAGACUGGGAUAACUUCGGGAAACCGGAGCUAAUACCGGAUAAUAUAUUGAACCGCAUGGUUCAAUAGUGAAAGACGGUUUUGCUGUCACUUAUAGAUGGAUCCGCGCCGCAUUAGCUAGUUGGUAAGGUAACGGCUUACCAAGGCGACGAUGCGUAGCCGACCUGAGAGGGUGAUCGGCCACACUGGAACUGAGACACGGUCCAGACUCCUACGGGAGGCAGCAGUAGGGAAUCUUCCGCAAUGGGCGAAAGCCUGACGGAGCAACGCAGCGUGAGUGAUGAAGGUCUUCGGAUCGUAAAACUCUGUUAUUAGGGAAGAACAAAUGUGUAAGUAACUAUGCACGUCUUGACGGUACCUAAUCAGAAAGCCACGGCUAACUACGUG
rnacentral:rRNA from 1 species